GACAGAGGUGCCAAGCGUUAGGCGGAAUCACUGGGCUUAAAGCGUGUGUAGGCGGAAUUGUAAGUACCUUGUGAAAUCCCACGGCUCAACCGUGGAACUGCUUGGCAUACUGGCGGUCUUGAGCCACUUAGGGGCAACCGGAACAAAUGGUGGAGCGGUGAAAUGCGUAGAUAUCAUUUGGAACGCCAAUGGUGAAAACAGGUUGCUGGGAGUGUGCUGACGCUGAGACACGAAAGCCAGGGGAGCGAACGGG
rnacentral:rRNA from 1 species